rnacentral:rRNA from 1 species
CCUACGGGUGGCAGCAGUGAGGAAUAUUGGUCAAUGGCCGGAAGGCUGAACCAGCCAUGCCGCGUGAAGGUCAGUGCCCUAUGGGCGUUAAACUUCUUUUGUGCGGGAGCAAUAAUGGUCACGUGUGGCCAGACGAGAGUACCGUACGAAUAAGCAUCGGCUAACUCCGUGCCAGCAGCCGCGGUAAUACGGGGGAUGCAAGCGUUAUCCGGAUUUAUUGGGUUUAAAGGGUGCGUAGGCUGUGAGGUAAGUCAGCGGUGAAAUGCCGCCGCUCAACGGGGUGAAGUGCCAUUGAUACUGCCUGGCUGGAGUGCGGAUGCGGUGGGAGGAAUGUGUGGUGUAGCGGUGAAAUGCAUAGAUAUCACACAGAACACCGAGUGCGAAGGCAUCUCACGGAUCCGCGAUUGACGCUGAGGCACGAAAGCGUGGGUAUCAAACAGGAUUAGAUACCCUUGUAGUC